rnacentral:rRNA from 1 species
AAUGAACGCUGGCGGCAGGCCUAAAACAUGCAAGUCGAACGCCCUAGCAAUAGGGAGUGGCGCACGGGUGCGUAACAUGUGGGAAUAUGCCUUUUGGUACGGAACAACGUUUGGAAACGAACGCUAAUACCGUAUGGUCCCUUCGGGGUAAAGAUUUAUCGCCAAAAGAUUAGCCCGCACUGGAUUAGCUAGUUGGUGAGGUAAUGGCUCACCAAGGCGACGAUCCAUAGCUGGUCUGAGAGGAUGAUCAGCCACACUGGGACUGAGACACGGCCCAGACUCCUACGGGAGGCAGCAGUUAGGAAUAUUGGACAAUGGGCGCAAGCCUGAUCCAGCCAUGCCGCGUGAGUGAUGAAGGCCUUCGGGUUGUAAAGCUCUUUAGCCGACGAUUAUAAUGACUGUAGUCGGAGAAUAAGCCCCGGCUAACUUCGUGCCAGCCGCCGCCGUAA